rnacentral:snRNA from 1 species
GUGCUAUCGGCAGCACAUAUACUAAAAUUGGAACCAUACAGAGAAGAUUAGCAUGGCCCCUGCGCAAGCAAAAAAGUAAGACUGUCUUAU